GGACUUACGUCAAACUCCACACAAACAGGCAAACAUGGAAACCGAAUGUCAAUCGCUGGACUUACAUCAGACUCCAAGCACACAACAGACAGUAGGAUACGGAAUGCCAAUCGCUGGACUUACAUCCAUCUCCUAACACCCACAAAGAAAAAACAAAAGGACGCCCGGAGAGAUCAGCUCAUCUCCUGCCUACGUACCUCAUCUGGUAUGAGGAUCAGGGCGACGUAGUUCCCCUACGCAGGGACAAAGGACUAGCCUAACCAGACA
rnacentral:lncRNA from 1 species